UACGUAGGGGGCAAGCGUUGUCCGGAAUCAUUGGGCGUAAAGCGCGCGUAGGCGGCCAGAUAAGUCCGGUGUGAAAGUCACAGGCUCAACCUGUGAAUGCCGCUGGAAACUGUCUGGCUUGAGUCCGGAAGGGGCGAGUGGAAUUCCUGGUGUAGCGGUGAAAUGCGUAGAUAUGCGGAGGAACACCAGUGGCGAAGGCGACACGCUGGGCCGUACCUGACACUAAAACGCGACAGCAUGGGGAGCGAACGGG
rnacentral:rRNA from 1 species